UUCUCUUUCCUAUAAAUAAAGAAGAACGCAAAGGAGUGAAGCCGUCCCGUCCUGCACAGAUUCACAAUCCUCACUCCUCACUCCGCGCAGUUCCUAGGCCAGGGAACCUAAGAUGCAGUGCACUAAUUGGUGACCAAUUGGAUGGCCUUAGUGUUUGCCUCAAGUCUAUCUUCAAUGAAAUUGGGCUCAUAACCCUGAAUUUCUGUUGAAGGGCUUGUCACUAUGGCCAAUGUUGAUUUUGAGGCUGGUACCAUGUUUCCAACCAGCCAGUAAUGAUUCCUAUUCAUUUAGACACUCUUCGUCAUUAAAAUUUUAUAUCUCUUUUGUUUUCUAUGCCUCUUCGUGUUUUCUUUUGGUUUUAUCAAUACAAAGCAAACAUAUGUGAUAGUGGGAUGUCACUUUUAUUGUAAAUUUCAUUUGAAAUGCAAGAAAAAAGUUUAUUUUGUUGAACCUCCAGCAUUAUGGUAUGGAACUUACGGUGCCUUUAUAUUUUUAUAUAUGGAGUCUAGUAGCGUGCCUUUCACACUAAGGCACUUAUGGUAAAUGGUCUACAUUUGUGGCUGAGCUGCUAGAUCACUUUUCUUGUUGAAGCUGCUGAACUGAAAAUUCUUUGGGUUUUUGGAGGUUUGCACCUCCUGCUUUUGAGGUACUAAUGAUGUUGGACUAAGUUGUCUGGGAAUGUAGUGUUACCAUUUUGUUUAUCCAAUAUUUAUUCAAUGUUGGUGCUCUGGUUUCUGCCUAUCUGCAAAUGAAAUUCCUGGCUGCUGAUGGUCUAUGGUGGUCUAUGGGUUUAUGUAUAUUUGAAACUCUUGGUUGUUGUUGGGUGGUGGUGUUAUUCUUCAUUUAUACGAGGUGCCAAAAAUGGGGAUUGAGAACAUGUAAUACUGUAUCAUGAUUACAUAACAUUGUUCAUGAUUACAUUACUCCCAAUUAAGUUAGCUAUUAUAUUCCGGAAGAGUUUUUUGUGA